rnacentral:rRNA from 1 species
AUCAAAGUUGUUGCAGUUAAAAAGCUCGUAGUUGAAUUUCUGAUGGGUAGAAGUGGAAUUUUGAUAUUCAGUAAUGGAUAUUUAAUUUUGCCGCCUGUCAUUUUGUGGAAAACCGAUUAGAUUUGUUAUUAAUUUAACGAAUUUAGUUGCCACUCAGUUACUGAGAGCAAAUUGGAGUGCUCAAAGCAGGCUAUAUAGCUUUGAACAUAUUAGCUUGGAAUAACAAUAAAUGACUUGAUGGUAUUUGUUGGUUAUAUAAUUAAGUAAUGAUUAACAGGAACAGUCGCGGGGGUGUCUGUAUUGGGAAGUCAGAGGUGAAAUUCUUGGAUUUUUCCACGACAAACAACUGCGAAAGCAUUCACCAAGGAUGUUUUCAUUAAUCAAGAACGAAAGUGUGGGGAUCGAAGAAGAUUAGAUACCUUCGUAGUCCACUCCUUAAACGAUGCCGACUCGGGAUGUGUCUAUUUAACGUAAAGUUAAAGACAUGCACCGUAUGAGAAAUCAAAGUCUUUGGGUUCCGGGGGGAGUAUGGUCGCAAGGCUGAAACUUAAAAGAAUUGACGGAAGGGCACACCAGUAGUGGAGCCUGCGGUUCAAUUUGACCCAACACAGUGAAACUUACCAGUCCAGACAUGGCGAGGAUUGACAGUUUGAAAGCACUUUCUUGAUUUCAUGGGUGGUGGUGCAUGGCCGUUCUUAGUUGGUGGAGUGAUUUGUCUGGUUGAUUCCGAUAACGAACGAGACGGGAGGAGUUCACUAGUUUAUUUAGUAAUUCACGUUACUAUAAGCUUCUUUACUCGACUGGUCAUUUUUAAUGACAGGAAGCGUCCCGCAAUAACAGGUCUGUGAUGCCCUUAGAUGUUCUGGGCCACACGCGCGCUACAAUGACGAUUUCAACGAGUUUUUUCCUCCUUGCCCGGAAGGGUGUGGGUAAUCUUUUCAAUGGUCGUCGUGAUGGGGCUAGAUUUUUGCAAUUAUGAAUCUUCAACGAGGAAUUUCUAGUAUGUGCAAGUCAUCAGCUUGCGCAGAAUGCGUCCCUGCCCUUUGUACACACCGCCCGUCGCACCUACCGAUUGGACGAUCCGGCAAGAUGUUUGGAGAUGGCAAUUUCAAGCUUGCUUGAAGUUGUUGUCAAAGCUCCUCAAACCUUAUCGUCUAGAGGAAGGUGAAGUCGUAACAAGGUCUCCGUAGGUGAACCUGCGGAGG